AAAAUAACACUUCAACAUAUUUUUAAAGGCUGAAUUAGCAGUGUUGUCUCCUGAGCUAAGAUGUUGAAUAGGCAGGAUAACAGCAUAAAUGAAAAAAAGGAGUGUCAAGAUAGAAAAUAAUCAUACUGCACACUUCUUCACGAACACAUAUUGAGCUGAGGCAGGGUAAAGAAGAAGCAAAAUUCGAUAAUGAAGGAUUGACUUUUCACUGUAGUACUCCAUCUUAAGUGAUUCAGAUUUCUCGUUUCUUCUAUACUUGUGCAUAGUAUCAGAAAAGAUUUCAAUGACUUGGAAAAAUAUUUCAAUGACUUGGGCUGGUGAAAAAUACUUCUUCAUCAUUUCCGGUGCAACCAUGGAAGUUGGAGUCUUGAGAGAAAAAGGAUUUAAAAGUGUCUCCAUUGGUUUCAUUUCAUUCGAUGCCUAAGGUGUGGGAAUACUAAAGGCAACCACAAAUUUUCUCACCUGAAAUUUUUCCUUUCUCUCCUCUGGAGCUGACCAGUGAUCCAACAUUUUAAAAACUCUUAUCAAAUGAAGAGUUAAACUUUGGUAGAGGACAUGAUUGUAUGUAAGUAUAUUCUACAUAUGUGUGUGUGUGUAUAUACUUACAUGCACGUGUGAUUCUAACAUUACAUUAAAGUAUAUUCUACAGCUAUAUGUGUCAAAACAUCUAUGUUAUAUAUAAUUUUCAUUUGUUAUGAUUGUUUAUUAACUAUAAAAGCAGUUGAUAAAAUAAAUAUGAUGGGAAUUUUCUA